rnacentral:pre_miRNA from 1 species
UCACCUCCGCAGGCUGCAGGCCCCAGGCUGGGCUGGGCGAGUAUCUCUUCAAAAGGCUCACCUCAAGCACGACUAAGAGC